GGUUCUGUAGUGUAGAUGGUUAUCACAUCGGAUUCUGAUCCCAUCAUCAGUAUCCUUCCGGGAACCUGAGUUCGAGUCUCAGCAGAACCU